rnacentral:rRNA from 1 species
CCUACGGGGUGCAGCAGUGGGGAAUAUUGCACAAUGGUGGAAACCCUGAUGCAGCGACGCCGCGUGAAGGAUGGAGUUUUUCGGUAUGUAAACUCCUAUCAGCAGGGAAGAAAAUGACGGUACCUGACUAAGAAGCCCCGGCUAACUACGUGCCAGCAGCCGCGGUAAUACGUCGGGGGCAAGCGUUAUCCGGAUUUACUGGGCGUAAAGGGAGCGUAGACGGUAUGGCAAGUCUGAUGUGAAAACCCGGGGCUCAACCCCGGGACUGCAUUUGAAACUGCCGAACUAGAGUGUCGGAGAGGCAAGUGGAAUGCCUGGUGUAGCGGUGAAAUGCGUAGAUAUUAGGAGGAACACCAGUGGCGAAGGCGGCUUGCUGGACGAUGACUGACGUUGAGGCUCGAAAGCGUGGGGAGCAAACAGGAUUAGAUACCCGUGUAGUC